rnacentral:rRNA from 1 species
AGGAUGGGCCCGCGUCCCAUUAGCUGGUUGGUGAGGUAAAGGCCCACCAAGGCAACGAUGGGUAUCCGGCCUGAGAGGGUGAACGGACACAUUGGGACUGAGAUACGGCCCAAACUCCUACGGGAGGCAGCAGCUAAGAAUCUUCCGCAAUGGACGAAAGUCUGACGGAGCGACGCCGUGUGAAUGAAGAAGGCCGAAAGGUUGUAAAAUUCUUUUGCAGAUGAAGAAUAAGAAGAAGAGGGAAUGCUUCUUUGAAG